rnacentral:rRNA from 1 species
GAUCAAGUUAUUAAGAGCAUAGGGUGAAUACCUUGGCACUGAGAGGCGAAGAAGGACGUGAUAAGCUGCGAAAAGCUACGGGGAACUGCAAACGAGUUUAGAUCCGUAGAUAUCCGAAUGGGGCAACCCAGCUGUAGUAAUGUGCAGUUAUCUAUAUGUGAAUACAUAGCAUAUAGAGGCGAACCCGGCGAACUGAAACAUCUAAGUAACCGGAGGAAGAGAAAGAAAAAUAUCGAUUUCCUAAGUAGCGGCGAGCGAAACGGAAAGAGCCCAAACCAUAGACUGCGGUUUAUGGGGUAGUGGGCAGUCAACGAAGUAAGACGAAUAAUCUAACCAAAUACGCACUGGAAAGGCGAACCGAAGAAGGUGAUAGUCCUGUAGGUGAAAGAUUAGGAGUAAGAAAGACUGACCCGGAGUACCACGGAACACGAGAAAUUUUGUGGGAAGCAAGGAGGACCAUCUCCGAAGGCUAAAUACUACUCAGUGACCGAUAGCGCAUAGUACCGUGAGGGAAAGGUGAAAAGAACCCCGAGAGGGGAGUGAAAUAGAAUAUGAAACCCUAUGUUUACAAGCAACGGAAGCACUUUAUAUGUGCAACCGUGUACUUUUUGUAAAACGGGCCAACGAGUUACGAUAUGAAGCGAGGUUAAGAUGUUAAGCAUCGGAGCCGCAGCGAAAGCGAGUCUUAAUAGGGCGAAAGUUUUGUGUCGUAGACCCGAAACCGGGCGAUCUAUCCAUGAGCAGGGUGAAGCAAAAGUAAAAUUUUGUGGAGGCCCGAACCCAUAUCAGUUGAAAAUGGUUGGGAUGACUUGUGGAUAGGGGUGAAAUUCCAAUCGAGCCCGGAGAUAGCUGGUACUCUCCGAAAUAGCUUUAGGGCUAGCCUCAAGAGAUUAGAUAUGGAGGUAGAGCAGACUGAUUACCUGAGGGGCUUUCAACGGCUACCGAAGGUUAUCAAACUCCGAAUGCCAUAAUCUUAAAACUUGGGAGUCAGACUAUGUGCGAUAAGGUUCAUAGUCGAAAGGGAAAGAGCCCAGACCAUCAGCUAAGGUCCCUAAAUAUAAAUUAAGUGGGAAAGGAAGUGGUGUUGCAUAGACAACUAGGAUGUUGGCUUAGAAGCAGCAAUUCAUUUAAAGAGUGCGUAAUAGCUCACUAGUCGAGUGAUGUUGCACCUAAAAUUACCGGGGCUUAAAUUUAUUACCGAAGCUAUGGAUCACGUAAGUGGUGGUAGGAGAGCAUUGUGUAUAGGACGAAGCUAGACCGUAAGGACUGGUGGACGAUACACAAGAGAGAAUGUUGGCAUGAGUAACGAGAGUAAGGUGAGAAUCCUUACCGCCGAAAAUCUAAGGUUUCCUGAGGAAGGUUCGUCCUCUCAGGGUAAGUCAGGGCCUAAGCCGAGGACGAAAGUCGUAGGCGAUGGACAACAGGUUAAGAUUCCUGUACCACCGACAAUCGUUAGAGAGAAGCAAGGAAGCAGAAGGAAAAGCUUAGCCUGGCGAAGGUAGACCAGGUACAAGCUGCGAGCGAGUGAUCAUAGGCAAAUCCGUGAUUACGUUGGAUGUAAGCAGUUACGUGGAGCGAAAAUAAGUAGCGAAGAAGUAGAUUCACACUGUCAAGAAAAGUUGCUAUCGAGAUUGAAGGUGCCUGUACCGCAAACCGACACAGGUAGAUGGAUAGAGAAUAUUAAGGCGCGCGAGAUAACUAUUGUUAAGGAACUCGGCAAAAUAACCCCGUAACUUCGGGAGAAGGGGUACCACACGCAUGUGCAAGCAUGAAGUGGUUGCAAAAACAAGACACAAACGACUGUUUACCAAAAACACAGGUCUCUGCUAAAUCGAGAGAUGAAGUAUAGGGGCUGACGCCUGCCCGGUGCUGGAAGGUUAAGAGGAAGAGUUAGCGUAAGCGAAGCUUGGAAUUGAAGCCCCAGUGAACGGCGGCCGUAACUAUAACGGUCCUAAGGUAGCGAAAUUCCUUGUCGGGUAAGUUCCGACCCGCACGAAAGGCGUAACGAUUUGUGUACUGUCUCAACAAUAGGCUCGGUGAAAUUGUAGUACCGGUAAAGAUGCCGGUUACCCGCAGCAAGACGGAAAGACCCCGUGGAGCUUUACUGCAGCUUGAUAUUGAAAUUUGGUGUAUAAUGUACAGAAUAGGUGGAAGACGAAGAAAUGAGUGCACAAGCAUUCAGGGAGUCGCAAUGUGGAAUACCACUCUUUAUGCAUCAGGUUUCUAACUAUGUACUGUAAUCCAGUACUAGGACAAUGUCAGGUGGGCAGUUUGACUGGGGCGGUCGCCUCCUAAAGAGUAACGGAGGCGCUCAAAGGUUCUCUCAGCACGGACGGAAAUCGUGCAAAGAGCGCAAAGGCAAAAGAGAGCUUGAUUGCGAGACAUACAGGUCGAGCAAGUACGAAAGUAGGACUUAGUGAUCCGGUGGCGCCGCAUGGAAGGGCCAUCGCUCAACGGAUAAAAGCUACCCCGGGGAUAACAGGCUUAUCUCCCCCAAGAGUUCACAUCGACGGGGAGGUUUGGCACCUCGAUGUCGGCUCGUCUCAUCCUGGAGCUGAAGCAGGUUCCAAGGGUUGGGCUGUUCGCCCAUUAAAGAGGCACGCGAGCUGGGUUCAGAACGUCGUGAGACAGUUCGGUCCCUAUCUGCUGUGGGCGUAGGAAAUUUGAAUAGAUUUGUACCUAGUACGAGAGGACCGGUAUGAACGUACCGCUGGUGUAUCAGUUGUUCCGCCAGGAGCAUAGCUGAGUAGCUAAGUACGGAAGGGAUAAGCGCUGAAAGCAUCUAAGCGCGAAGCCUACUAUAAGAUGAGAUUUCCCAUCAAGAAAUUGAGUAAGAUUCCAGAAAGACUAUCUGGUAGAUAGGUCUGAGGUGAAAGUGCAGUAAUGUAUUGAGCUGACAGAUACUAAUAGAUCGAGGACUUGAUCUA